rnacentral:rRNA from 1 species
UACGUAGGGACCAAGCGUUGUUCGGAUUUACUGGGCGUAAAGGGCGCGUAGGCGGCGUGGUAAGUCACUUGUGAAAUCUCUGAGCUUAACUCAGAACGGCCAAGUGAUACUGCUGUGCUAGAGUGCAGAAGGGGCAACUGGAAUUCUCGGUGUAGCGGUGAAAUGCGUAGAUAUCGAGAGGAACACCUGCGGCGAAGGCGGGCUGCUGGGCUGACACUGACGCUGACAGCGCGAAAGCUAGGGGAGCGAACGGG